GCCUACUUGUGAUCUCUCUGUCAAAUAAAUAAAUAAAAAUCUUAAAAAAAAAAAAAAGACCCAAAUAAAUCAUGGCUUAGAAGGCUCGAUAUUAUAAAUAUCUAAUUUUUCUUAAACUGACAUAUAGAAUCAAGAUAUUCCCAAUCUUGGGAGUAUUUUUUUCAUUUUUUAUUAAUUGAGAAGCUGAUUCUAAGAUAGAAAUGGAAAAUUUAUCAAAACUAGCCAGAUUCUUGAAAAUGAAAAACAAGUUAGGAUGACUUUCUUUACAAGAUAACAAGGCUUAUUACAAAGCUAAAAUAAACACAGAGUGAGCUAAUUAUUCUGUUCAGAAGAAUCCAGAAAUGGACCCAAAAGUAUAUGCACAUAUGAUUUAUGACAAAAGUGAGAUGACCAUACAUCCUAGUUUGCCUAAGAAAGGCUGUUCCCAGGUCACAGAACUUUCAGAGCUAAAAUUAGGAAAGUUUCAGGCAAAUUGGGAUGAGUUGAUCACCCUAAGCAAAAGUGGCACUUUAGAGCUGUAAGAAAAAGAUGGUCUUUACAAUAAAUUAUAGUGGGGCAAUUGGAUAAUCAUGUAAAAUUAAACAGCCCUCACCUCACUCUAUAUACAAAAUACACUUCAGGUGGAUUAUAAAUCUAAACUAGUAGAUGAGAUAACACUUCUAAAAGAUUACUUAGAAUAUCUUCAAAACCUAGGAAUAUGGAAAGAUUUCUUAAAUAGAACCCAAAACACUUUUGUCAAUGAAGGAAAACAAUGAUAAAAUGGGUAACAUAAAAUGAAAAACACAUUCAUCAAAUACACCAUUAAUAAUGAAAAAGAAAACCAUAGAAUGGAAGAUAUUUGCAACUCAUAAGUGAAUAUAUAAAUAAUUCCUGCAAAUAAAUAAAAAAGUUCAUAGAAAAAAAUUUAAAAAAAUAAAAAUUCAUAGAAAAAUGAGAAAGUGAUGAGCAGACACUUCAAAGACAACAAAUUUCUAUUUUCUAAUACAAAAAGAUGCUGAACUUUAUUAAUCAUCUAGAAAUUAAAUAAAACGCAAUGAUAAUCCUCACAAACUAGUUUAAAUCCUCACAGAAUAAAUGUAAAAAAGGUUGACAAAUCAAACAUUGAUGAAGAUGUAGGAUGUAAGCUUUCAUAUACCAUUUAUAGGAAUGAACUGAUAAAAACUACUUCGGAAAACUGUUGGGCAGUAUCUUCCAAACCUGGAUAUAAGCAUACUCUGUCAGCCAGUAACUCACUUUUAGGAAAAGAUCAUACAGAAAUGUGUGCACAAAACCAAAUUUUAAAUGUUCUAAGCAAUCCUUUUCAUAAUAGCCCAAAACUUGAAAUAAUCAAAGGGUCUAUGAAGAGUAGAAGAGGUAAAUAAAUUGUGGCAAAUUCAUAUAUUAAAUUCCUAGACAACAGUGAAAAUGAGUGAAAUCCAGAUAACUAUCAUAAUAUGGGUGAAUUCUACAAGCAUGAUAUUGAGGAAAACGAAUGACACAAAGUAAUGCAUAAUCUUACAAUUCCAUUUAUAUAAAACAAGUCAUUUGUGUAUGCAGGAAGUAAGGAUAUUACCUUUGGAGAGAAGGAAAAGACCAGGAAAGGGGAACUUCUGCAGUGUGAUUAACUAAUGUUAAUUAACAUUCUAUUUUUUUAACUGGUUGUUCAUUUAUCAGUCAUGUUCAUUUUAUGAUAUAUCAAACUGUAUACUUAUAAGUGUGUACUUUUAUGUAUUUCUCAUAUACCUUGUGAAAAGUUUGAAUUUUAAUUAUAACAGGAAGUUUUUUUUAAGACUGCCCUAGCAGAGUUUAAGACUAGAGGCCAAAAAGUAGUUAAGAAGCUACUGCAAGAGCCCCAGUGGUGAAUGAUGGGUUCAGACUAAGAGAGUUGCAGAAUAUUGGAGAGGAUGAAGAUGAAAUUUUUUUUCACAUAUCUAAACUGAGUAUUUUUAAAUUUAAAUUAAAAUGUCAGUUUCUCAGGAGCAUUAGCCACAUUUUAAGUGGUCAUUGGCCCCAUAUGGCCAUGGUUACCAUCGUGGACAUGAUUUAGUGGUGAUAAACUACAUUUUGUAAUUUUAUGCUUCAUUCCCAACCUGGAUACCCAUUAUCUGAGUACCCUUUUAAAAAAAUUAAAUAUCUAUCUAUUCUCUAAUUAUGAAAUAAAUGAAAAUACUUAAGAAAAUAACUCCAGGUAACCAUCUUCCUGGACUUUUCAGACUCAGUCCUUCUUAGAGAAUGAACCAUAUAUGACUUCUAAAAGAGGAACUAAUGACAAUAUUAAUGACUUGCCAAUUACUAAGCCUACAGAGCAACAGACUUAUUUUAAUGCUGCUUCUGUUUACCACUUAGUAACCAACCUUUCUGCCCAUGGCUAUAAGAAAGGAAAUAGCUCAUAAUGCUUGCUUGCCUAUUAGAACAUCCUGUCUUCUUUUUUAUUUCUAUUUCUUACGCUUGGGGUUAUAUUCUGUCUUCCACUUGCUAGCACUGAUCCUAGUUUCUUUAAGCCGACAAAAACCAAUGUGGUAUGUGCUCUUGAUAUCAAAAUUACAACAUUCCAGUAGAGAGCACUGCUGCCAUUCAAAUUUUCUAGGGUGAUCUAUAUACACUUGGCCAAGUCCAAGGCACAUGUUUAUAAAUACUAUUCAUGCUAUAUUUUUGACGGCUUAUGUUUCCAGAGAACUUCAUCAUUUUCAGGUGUGAAAGGCAAGCUUGACCUUCAUUUCGUUCCAUCUGAAACCGUUUGUUUUCAAACACUGUUCACAGUUAAUGAGGAAAAUAUUGAAAUUUAGGUUCAAAACAUGGAAACGUAAUUUGCUAUGGUAAUUGAUGGUAUACCUCUGUAUGUCUCUGCUGAAUAAUUUCUUGCAUGGGAUAAUGCUCACCCUCUUGGUUUUCAGUAAUAGCAGAAGCAACAACUGAUCAAAUUAGCCAAUGAUCAGAGACAAGUUUAUUUCUUUCCUCACUCAUGGCUAACUAAGAUGAGCACAAAACUAAAAGUAAAACAAUUAAUAAUGAUAAUAAUGCAAAACUUGCCUCUCAAUCUCCAUUGGCCUCCCUUAAAUCCUGCCAAAAUAAUAAUAAAGAAGAUAUUCCUGUCUAAACCAAGAAUCUUGCUUUGGGAAGUAACUGCCCAGAAUAUCCUAUUUUGUCUUCAGCAAGGACACUGGCUGCCAGAAUAAACAUCAGCAAUUAUCUGAAACAGUUCAGAAUACUCUCUAUCCCUUCUUGGAAUAUCAUGGUUAGACACUUGUAAGUAUAUGAAAUAUGUAAGGGUGAAGUAUGUAUUAAAUACCAGAGGUAGAAUAAUAGAUUGGUUGCCAUCUGGCAAAUAAAUUGUCUUCCCAGAUCUAUUACUUAUGAAAAAGUGCUUUAGACAAUCCAUUUCUCCAUUUUCUGGGCAACCCAGUGUCAGCAACACCUAGUAUAUUGGAGACUUGGUUUGAAAGAAGAACCACCAAGGGAGUUAAUAGCAUUUUUUAAUAAAGAGGAUCUUCGUAAAAAAUACAUAUGAUCACAACUGGCAAGACUUCAGUGAUAACCCUGAAGACUCACAGUAGUUAGUGACUUGGCUUACUCGCACCACAGAAAUUGAACAGAGGUGCUAGCAAGAAGUUACAUGACUAGCCUAGGUAUACCUGAGCGUUGCUCUAACCUUCAUUCCCUGUCUCCUUCUACUCAUCUUAGGGAGAGAUUUUAAUUAAAAAAUAAAGUCCCCCAAAAAUAGGCAACAGAAAAGUGGAAAAAUUAAAGAUCUGAAUCAUCUGUAAAUGCAAUAAUCAGGCACGUAGAAGAGGGAGUUGGUUUUCUUCAUCACUAGGAAAAUCUGUAACAAAUGGAGGUGUGUUUUUAUGGUUUUCAAAUAACUUUAAACAUCAAUCAUUAAUGUAUUAAGUUAUUGGUAAACAUUCUCCUCUGAUUUUUUUUUUUAAGAUUUUAUUUAUUUAUGUGACAGAGAGAGAUCACAAGUAAGCAGAGAGGCAGGCAGAGAGAGGAGGAAGCAGUCUCCUGGCUGAGCAGAGAGCCUGAUGCAGGGUCGAUCCCAGGACCCUGGGAUCAUGACCUGAGCCGAAGGCAGAGGCAUUAACCCACUGAGCCACCCAGGCGCCCCCUCCUCUGAUUUUUUAAGUGGAGAGUUUAUAAUUUUCAGACUUCAAAUAAAUUGAUUAAUGUGAAUUUUUUGUCUUACAGGUUUAAAUAUAUAUUAAAUUAAUAUUUAAUAUUAUAUUUUAAUAUAUAUAAUGCAGUCCCCAUUAAAGUGAUGAAUACAUGAAGACAGUCAAAUGUUAACUCUAUUUGAAAAUAUGACUGUCUGUAACUAGAUUGAAUUCCCUCUGAAGGAAUGCCCUCUUCGUCUUUGCAUCCCAAUGUCUACAAUAUUCCUGACAUUCAGUGGGUUUUUCAAACCAAAGAAAAAUAUAAAUGUGAGGUAAAUAUUUUUUUUAGAAUUGUGUUUUUCUGAGCUGGCUAUGUAAAUGAUAGUUCAGAAAUAAAAAGAAGCACUAAAAUAAAUCACAGAUUGGGAAAAGUUAAAAACUAUUCAAUAAUUUAAUUUUCUACCAUUAUGAUAUAUAAUGAUAUUUUCUGCAAAUAUAUUUAGAAUAUCUCUGGAGAAAUACAAAAUAAACUGCUAGUAUUAGUGCUUCCAAGGAGAGAACUGGGGGGACUAGAUGUAGAAAGGAGACUUGUUUUUACAGUAUAUUUUUUUGUACUUUUUGAAUUUUCUAUCAUGUGUAUAUAAUUCCAUUUUUUCAAUUUGUUCUUUAAAAAUCACUAUUUACCUGACUAGACAAUAAGCCUAAAUAAAUUCUGAUCAUUAGUGCAAAAUGUCUUUAAUCAAUAGUGCCUCUUCAAUAUAAUGGUUUUUUGGUUAAACUCUUUUUAAACUAAAAUUUAAGGAGGUCUCAAGUGUGUUUAUUAUAGAGAUGAUACUAUUCUAUUAGCCUUAUACUAUAGGAGAAAAUAAUAAAGUAGUGACUAUAAUAGCGUAAGCAUGAAUUAUUAAAAGGUUGGAAUUAGGCUGGUGGCAAUAGAAAAAAAAAAGAUGAAUGAGUGAAACAAAUUGAGGGACCAUUUGAAAAUUGGCAGACCUCAUGAACCUCUGAAUUCUGAUCUCCUGAAGCCUUCAUUAUUUUCUUGUGGUCUGAAAAAGUACGUUAUCUCUAGAGCUUUGAAUCUCACAGGAGGGAACACAUACCCAAAUCUAACUAAAGACCUCAAUUGUGUGAAGAAAACUUUACUCAUAAAACUUGCAAAUGUACCAUUCAAUGAGAAUUUUCUCUCCUACUGGCCUAUAUAUAACUUAUUUUUUAGACUGGAAAAUUUCAAAGAUAUAAAAAGAUGUAUAAUGAGCCUCCAUGUACUUAUCACCACUUCCCCUCUCCCAGGAUUAUUUUGAAGCCAUCCCAGGCUUCAUUUUGUCUUGAACUAUUUCUAUUUAUAUCACUAAGUCCUAAGAAUUCUUUUCAAAAUCAAAUUUAACCAAUAAAGGUUUCCUAUCUUAAAAAUUAACAA